CGGUCACGCCGUAAAACGCCCAAGCUUUACUUAGAGUUGACUCUCGGAUCAGCGCACGUAUGUUGCAAACAUUAAAAUGGGAUGGGGGGGGUGAGGUAACUAAAUUAAAUAAAACAUG
rnacentral:rRNA from 1 species